CACAUCGCUCAAUUAGAACAGUAAAGAUGAGUUUAUAAUGUAAAGCAGAAGAGAGAAGUUUGUCCUUCGGGACAUCCGAUAAAAUUGGAACGAUACAGAGAAGAUUAGCAUGGCCCCUGCGCAAGGAUGACACGCAUAAAUCGAGAAAUGGUCCAAAUUUUUUUUUCUUCCUCUGCGAUCUGUGCUUCUAUGGCUUCCUCUGUCUUCUUCUUCCUUCUUUUCGGGUUCAAUUGCAGAGGGUGCUUUCUCAGUUUAGGAUGACACCGCCUGGCCGCUACAGGCUAAAACUUGCAGUGUGAUUCUUCCAUGUGAUCACCAACCGUUACAACCUUCAUCAAACCACAACUGUGCACACAUUACUGUGGAAUUGGUAUAGCUCGAUAUGCUUUCAAAUUUCAGGUAGAUGAGCAGCCAUCCACUAACAAAGACUAAUGUGCCUAACUCACUCUCAAACGGCGUCUUAAUAGAGGAGGGAUGCCUAUGGCUUAUAAACUUCAUUAGUCCGGGAAAUCCUGACAAUGUGGGACUCUUUGAUACCAUCCCAGCUAUGAAUGUAGUAAGCAUGGCUCUCCCACAUUCCUGUAUUGCUAUUAAACAUGCUCUUCAUUCUGUAAGCAAAAUCAGUUUAUUUGAGAAAGGGCUAGAGACUUCCGCAUCAUGCUGAACCAAGGACGCUCCGUCUUUUCCUUAGAGCUUUCCAAAGGAAGGGCAGCGACCUUAGCUCAGGUGGGGCCAAGGUUGCAUGGGAGCAGGUUUGUCUUCCCAAAGAUGAAGGAGGGCUAGGCAUCAAGAGUAUGGAGCAUUGGAAUCAAGCUGCCAACCUUACUUCGUCUUCGCCCUCCUGCCUUUCCAGUAGUGAAUUCAGCUCUUCUCUUGAAGCAAUAACGCAUUGAUCUAGUUGCUACCGGAGCCACAAAGGAUUAUUAACUUCCUCGAAUAUGACUUUCAGUUUCGGAUAAGACUAGUUCCUAUUGUUUUCAUGAAUUGUUGAUAUAUGGUGUCCUUUUGCAGUAUUUACCUUUCUGGAGAGAACCACAUUCUUUCUAUACCCCAUUGGUGCUGUCAUCGUCCUUUCUCCUAUUUGUAAUAAGUGUUUGAAUAUGACUCCUGAUUGUGUUUUUGCUUUGGAUCCUGUUGUAGCUGAAUUCAAUUUCGUUGACCCUGCAGUGAUUUUAAGUGGCUUCAA